GUGGGGAAUAUUGCACAAUGGGCGCAAGCCUGAUGCAGCAACGCCGCGUGAGGGAUGACGGCCUUCGGGUUGUAAACCUCUUUUAGUAGGGAAGAAGCGAAAGUGACGGUACCUGCAGAAAAAGCACCGGCUAACUACGUGCCAGCAGCCGCGGUAAUACGUAGGGUGCAAGCGUUGUCCGGAAUUAUUGGGCGUAAAGAGCUCGUAGGCGGCUGGUCGCGUCUGCUGUGAAAUCCCGGGGCUCAACCCUGGGCCUGCAGUGGGUACGGGCAGGCUAGAGUGCGGUAGGGGAGAUUGGAAUUCCUGGUGUAGCGGUGGAAUGCGCAGAUAUCAGGAGGAACACCGAUGGCGAAGGCAGAUCUCUGGGCCGCUACUGACGCUGAGGAGCGAAAGCAUGGGGAGCGAACAGGAUUAGAAACCCGAGUAGUCC
rnacentral:rRNA from 1 species